AUUGAACGCUGGCGGCAGGCUUAACACAUGCAAGUCGAGCGGGGUGAUGGUGCUUGCACUAUCACUUAGCGGCGGACGGGUGAGUAAUGCUUAGGAAUCUGCCUAUUAGUGGGGGACAACAUCUCGAAAGGGAUGCUAAUACCGCAUACGUCCUACGGGAGAAAGCAGGGGAUCACUUGUGACCUUGCGCUAAUAGAUGAGCCUAAGUCGGAUUAGCUAGUUGGUGGGGUAAAGGCCUACCAAGGCGACGAUCUGUAGCGGGUCUGAGAGGAUGAUCCGCCACACUGGGACGGGGACACGGCCCAGACUCCUACGGGAGGCAGCAGUGGGGAAUAUUGGACAAUGGGGGGAACCCUGAUCCAGCCAUGCCGCGUGUGUGAAGAAGGCCUUAUGGUUGUAAAGCACUUUAAGCGAGGAGGAGGCUUACCUAGUUAAUACCUGGGAUAAGUGGACGUUACUCGCAGAAUAAGCACCGGCUAACUCUGUGCCAGCCGCCGCGGUAA
rnacentral:rRNA from 1 species